rnacentral:rRNA from 1 species
GUGUCAGCAGCCGCGGUAACACGGGGGGAGCAAGCGUUGUUCGGAAUCACUGGGCGUAAAGGGCGUGUAGGCGGUCAAGUAAGUGGGAUGUGAAAUGCCCCGGCUCACCCGGGGACCGGCAUCCCAUACUGCUUGGCUUGAGUACGGGAGAGGAUGUGGGAAUUCCUGGUGUAGCGGUGAAAUGCGUAGAUAUCAGGAGGAACACCGGUGGCGAAAGCGCACAUCUGGCCCGAUACUGACGCUGAUGCGCGAAAGCUAGGGGAGCAAACGGGAUUAGAUACCCGUGUAGUCC